AGUGGAAUUUCUGGGUUAGAUGGUAACCUUAUGUUUACUUUUUGAGGAACUGUCAAACUGUCUUCCAAAGUGGCUGCACCAUUUUAUGUUCCCACCAGCAAU
rnacentral:pre_miRNA from 1 species